AGCUAAUACUUGCUUUAGCACUCUUGAUUAAGUUCUUGAGUGUGUACUUGUUAAGCCUUUUAAGAAAAAAGUUAUUAACUUAAGGAAUUAUAACAAAGAAGUAACACGUAAUGGAUCCGUCCAUUUUUAAUGUGUAUCAAUCGAGUUUCUGACCUAUCAGCUUUUGAUGUUAGGGUAUUGGCCUAACAUGGCUAUGACGGGUAACGGGGAAUUAGAGUUCGAUUCCGGAGAGGGAGCCUGAGAAAUAGCUACCACAUCUAAGGAAGGCAGCAGGCGCGUAGAUUACCCAAUUCUAAAGAAGAGAGGUAGUGACAAGGAAUAACAAUACAAGGCCAACCUGGCUUUGUAAUUGGAAUGAUGGGAAUUUAAAACCUUCCCAAAACUCAAUUGGAGGGCAAGUCUGGUGCCAGCAGCCGCGGUAAUUCCAGCUCCAAUAGCGUAUAUUAAAAUUGUUGCAGUUAAAACGCUCGUAGUUGAAUUUCAAAGAAUCGAUAUUUUAAGUAACGCUUUUAGCUUAAUCCACAUAAUUGAUACUACGUAUCGACUUUGUGCGCAUUUUGCUAUUAUGUGUUCUUUUAAUUAAAAUGAUUCUUUUUAAGGUCUUUCUUUUGCUCCGGCAUUUGAAGAUCUUGUUACUUUGAGUAAAUUAGAGUGUUCAAAGCAAACAGAUAUGGCAUUGCGCGUUUGAAUACUACAGCAUGGAAUAACAAAAUUGAACAAGUCAGAAUUUUGUUCUUUUUUCUUAUUUUGGCUUAGUUACGAUUAAUAGGAGUAACUUGGGGGCAUUUGUAUUCAGAUGUCAGAGGUGAAAUUCUUAGAUUUUCUGGAGACAAACAACUGCGAAAGCAUUUGCCUAAAAUACUUCCAUUAAUCAAGAACGAAAGUUAAGGGAGUGAAGACGAUCAGAUACCGUCGUAUCUUAACCAUAAACUAUGCCGACUAGGCUUUGGAUGAAAGAUUCUAAAAUAAGA
rnacentral:rRNA from 1 species